GCUGGUUUCAACCUUUACAUAAACUAAAAUUGUAAUGCUAUGGAGAAGAUUAACAUGGCUGCUGCACAAGGAUGACAAGCAUGUUUGAAAAAUAAACAAAUAUGGG